rnacentral:rRNA from 1 species
GAUGAACGCUGGCGGCGUGCUUAACACAUGCAAGUCGAACGGAAAGGCCAGUGCUUGCACUGGUACUCGAGUGGCGAACGGGUGAGUAACACGUGGGUGAUCUGCCCUGCACUUCGGGAUAAGCCUGGGAAACUGGGUCUAAUACCGGAUAGGACAAUGGUUUGGAUGCCGUUGUGGAAAGUUUUUUCGGUGUGGGAUGAGCUCGCGGCCUAUCAGCUUGUUGGUGGGGUAAUGGCCUACCAAGGCGUCGUCGGGUAGCCGGCCUGCGAGGGUGUACGGCCACAUUGGGACUGAGAUACGGCCCAGACUCCUACAGGAGGCAGCAGUGGGGAAUAUUGCACAAUGGGCGCAAGCCUGAUGCAGCGACGCCGCGUGGGGGAUGACGGCCUUCGGGUUGUAAACUCCUUUCGCUAGGGACGAAGCGUAUUUGUGACGGUACCUGGAGAAGAAGCACCGGCUAACUACGUG